GCCCGGAUGGUCUAGUCGUAUGAUUCUCGCUUCGGGUCAAAACCCUUAGUCUUAAACACUGAAGUGCGAGAGGUCCCGGGUUCAAAUCCCGGUUCGGGCC
rnacentral:tRNA from 1 species